GGAAAUUUUAAUGAGGACAUCACAUAAAACGGAUCACAUGGAUAAUGGCGUUCUAUAGGACAUAUAGAUAAGUACUCACCACAACAACUGCUCAUGUUUAGUGGUCGGCGUGUCCAAAGCGCCCGGGCACAUGCGCAGCACUCCCAGAGAUCCCUUCCCUGUCCUGGUAGCCAUGGAGACGCAAUGGAGAACACAUCAGCAGGGUAGCUAAUAGCUGAGAGGCGUUGUUGGCGUGACGUGAUGAUGCCUGAUUGUUCUGUGAUUGGAAGGGAGGGCAUGCUGCAGACGGGGGAGGGAUCUCCUGGUGUUCGGUGUCCUAUAUAAAGUCUCUAUCCAUGUGAUGAGUUUUAUGUGAUGUCCUGAUGAAAGUUCUGUUCAGGAACUGAAAAGUUAACUUGGAUUUCUUUUGAAA